AUUGAACGCUGGCGGCAUGCCUUACACAUGCAAGUCGAACGGUAACGGGCCUUCGGGUGCCGACGAGUGGCGAACGGGUGAGUAAUGUAUCGGAACGUACCAUUGAGUGGGGGAUAACGUAGCGAAAGUUACGCUAAUACCGCAUAUUCUCUCCGGAGGAAAGCAGGGGACCGCAAGGCCUUGCGCUCUUUGAGCGGCCGAUAUCAGAUUAGCUAGUUAGUGGGGUAAAAGCUCACCAAGGCGACGAUCUGUAGCGGGUCUGAGAGGAUGAUCCGCCACACUGGAACUGAGACACGGUCCAGACUCCUACGGGAGGCAGCAGUGGGGAAUUUUGGACAAUGGGGGCAACCCUGAUCCAGCCAUGCCGCGUGAGUGAAGAAGGCCUUCGGGUUGUAAAGCUCUUUCAGCCGGGAAGAAAUCGCAUGGGCUAAUACCCCGUGCGGAUGACGGUACCGGAAUAAGAAGCACCGGCUAACUACGUGCCAGCAGCCGCCGUAAGAC
rnacentral:rRNA from 1 species